CUGUGUCUUCGACGCCGGUUCACCGCCUGUCGGUGCCACUGGCGUUUUGCGGGACGUCCUGUCGGUGGUGUGUCAGGAAUCUUAGUUGUGCUAUGCUCUGCUUAGUGCAGCUCUGGUUUCGGGCCACUUUCAUAAUCCCGCCGCGGUGCUCUUAAUCGAGUGUCGAGGCGGGCCGGCACGUUUACUUUGAACAAAUUAGAGUGCUUCAAGCAGGCUUGUCACGCCUGUAUACUGUGUGCAUGGAAUAAUGGAAUAGGACCUCGGUUCUAUUUUGUUGGUUUCCGGAAUCUGAGGUAAUGAUCAAUGGGGACAGGCGGGGGCAUUCGUAUUGCGACGUUAGAGGUGAAAUUCUUGGAUCGUCGCAAGACGGACCGAAGCGAAAGCAUUUGCCAAGUAUGUUCCCGUCGAUCAAGAACGAAAGUUAGAGGUUCGAAGGCGAUCAGAUACCGCCCUAGUUCUAACCAUAAACAAUGCCUGCCAGCGAUCCGCCGGCGUCCCUCCGAUGACCCGGCGGGCAGCUUCCGGGAAACCAGAGCUUUUGGGUUCCGGGGGAAGUAUGGUUGCAAAGCUGAAACUUAAAGGAAUUGACGGAAGGGCACCACCAGGAGUGGAGCCUGCGGCUUAAUUUGACUCAACACGGGAAAACUCACCAGGCCCGGACACCGGAAGGAUUGACAGAUUGAUAGCUCUUUCUUGAUUCGGUGGGUGGUGGUGCAUGGCCGUUCUUAGUUGGUGGAGCGAUUUGUCUGGUUAAUUCCGAUAACGAACGAGACUCUAGCCUACUAACUAGACGUAUCUGGUAUCAGCAAUCGUGCUACCAGCGAUCAUAUCUCUUCUUAGAGGGACAGGCGGCUUCUAGCCGCACGAGACUGAGCAAUAACAGGUCUGUGAUGCCCUUAGAUGUCCUGGGCCGCACGCGCGCUACACUGAAGGAAUCAGCGUGUCUUCCCUGUCCGAAAGGACCGGGUAACCCGCUGAACCUCCUUCGUGCUUGGGAUUGGGGCUUGCAAUUGUUCCCCAUGAACGAGGAAUUCCCAGUAAGCGCGAGUCAUAAGCUCGCGUUGAUUACGUCCCUGCCCUUUGUACACACCGCCCGUCGCUACUACCGAUUGAAUGAUUUAGUGAGGUCUUCGGACCGGUGCGCGGAGGCGGUUCUCUGCUCCCGAUGUUGUCGGAAAGAUGACCAAACUUGAUCAUU
rnacentral:rRNA from 1 species